UACGUAGGGGGCAAGCGUUGUCCGGAAUCAUUGGGCGUAAAGCGCGCGUAGGCGGCCAGAUAAGUCCGGUGUGAAAGUCAAAGGCUCAACCUUUGAAUGCCGCUGGAAACUGUCUGGCUUGAGUCCGGAAGGGGCGAGUGGAAUUCCUGGUGUAGUGGUGGAAUGCGUAGAUAUCGGGAGGAACACCAGUGGCGAAGGCGGUUGCCUGGAGCUUUGCUGACGCUGAUGCGCGAAAGCGUGGGGAGCGAUCCGG
rnacentral:rRNA from 1 species